rnacentral:rRNA from 1 species
GGUCAAGUGAAGAAGCGCAUACGGUGGAUGCCUUGGCAGUCAGAGGCGAUGAAAGACGUGGUAGCCUGCGAAAAGCUUCGGGGAGUCGGCAAACAGACUUUGAUCCGGAGAUGUCUGAAUGGGGGAACCCACCUAACAUAAGUUAGGUAUCUUAAGCUGAAUACAUAGGCUUAAGAAGCGAACCAGGGGAACUGAAACAUCUAAGUACCCUGAGGAAAAGAAAUCAACCGAGAUUCCCUUAGUAGUGGCGAGCGAACGGGGACCAGCCCUUAAGCUGUAUUGAUGUUAGCGGAACGCUCUGGAAAGUGCGGCCAUAGUGGGUGAUAGCCCUGUACGCGAAAACAUCUUU